GACAGAGGAGGCAAGCGUUGUCCGGAUUAACUGGGCGUAAAGCGUCCGCAGGUGGCACGGUCAGUGGGGUGUGAAAGCCGGUGGCUUAACCGCCGGAGGCCAUCCCAAACUGCCGCGCUGGAGUCGGGCAGAGGGUGCCGGAAUUGCCGGUGUAGCGGUGAAAUGCGUAGAUAUCGGGAGGAACACCUGUGGCGAAAGCGGCGCACUGGACCACAACUGACGCUGAUGCGCGAAAGCUAGGGGAGCAAACAGG
rnacentral:rRNA from 1 species